rnacentral:rRNA from 1 species
GAUGAACGCUGGCGGCGGGCUUAAUACAUGCAAGUAGAACGCAGUUGCGAACGGGUGAGUAACGCGUAGGUAACUGCCUCAUUGCGGGGGAUAACUAAGUGAAAAGGUAGAUAAUUCCGCAAUGUGUGAGACGGACGUGCGUGGUAUUAGCUAGGUGGUGAGGUAAACGUUCACAAAGGCGACGAUACAUAGCCGACCUGAGAGGGUGAUCGGCCCACCUGGGAAGUAGGACCGGCCCAGACUCCCACGGGAGGCAGCAGUAGGGAAUCUUCGGAAAUGGACGGAAGUCUGGCCGAGCACCGCCGGGUGAGUGAAGAAGGUUUUCGGAUCGUAAAGCUCUGUUGUUAGAGAAGCGGUAACUAACCAGAAAGGGACGGCUAACUACGUGCCAGCAGCCGCGGUAAUUC